rnacentral:rRNA from 1 species
GACGAACGCUGGCGGCGUGCCUAAUACAUGCAAGUCGAGCGAAUCGAUGGGAGCUUGCUCCCUGAGAUUAGCGGCGGACGGGUGAGUAACACGUGGGUAACCUGCCUGUAAGGCUGGAAUAACUUCGGGAAACCGGAGCUAAUACCGGAAACGUUCUUUUCUCGCAUGAGGAGAGAUGGAAAGAUGGUUUCGGCUAUCACUUACAGAUGGACCCGCGGCGCAUUAGCUAGUUGGUGAGGGAACGGCUCAACAAGGCGACGAUGCGUAGCCGACCUGAGAGGGUGAGCGGCCACACUGGGACUGAGACACGGCCCAGACUCCUACGGGAGGCAGCAGUAGGGAAUCUUCCGCAAUGGACGAAAGUCUGACGGAGCAACGCCGCGUGAGCGAAGAAGGCCUUCGGGUCGUAAAGCUCUGUUGUUAGGGAAGAACAAGUACAAGAGUAACUGCUUGUACCUUGACGGUACCUAACCAGAAAGCCACGGCUAACUACGUGCCAGCCGCCGCUGUAACAC